rnacentral:rRNA from 1 species
GACGAACGCUGGCGGCGUGCUUAACACAUGCAAGUCGAACGGAAAGGCCCCUUUGGGGGUACUCGAGUGGCGAACGGGUGAGUAACACGUGAGUAACCUGCCCUUGACUUCGGGAUAACUUCAGGAAACUGGGGCUAAUACCGGAUAGGAAUCCUUGCUGCAUGGUGGGGGUUGGAAAGCUUCGGCGGGUUUGGAUGGACUCGCGGCUUAUCAGCUUGUUGGUGGGGUAGUGGCUUACCAAGGCUUUGACGGGUAGCCGGCCUGAGAGGGCGACCGGCCACAUUGAGACUGAGAUACGGCCCAGACUCCGACGGGAGGCAGCAGUGGGGAAUAUUGCACAAGGGGCGGAGGCCUGAUGCAGCAACGCCGCGUGCGGGAUGACGGCCUUCGGGUUGUAAACCGCAUUCAGCAGGGGCGAAGCUUGUGGUGACGGUACCUGCAGAAGAAGCACCGGCUAACUACGUG